CAAUUAUUGACAUAGCAACUCCCGUCAGGAGGAAUAGAGGGAUUUCCCCUCCUGUGUUGCUGCUCUCUGUUGGGGACGAAGGACAGAACGGUCCCGUGUGCUCUGGGCGGAGCCCCGUCACUCAGAGUCUGGCUCCACCAGGCUAGAAAAGCUUCAGAGCUGGGCCUCCGGCAGAAGCUGUUUCUGUGAGUGACUUACAGACUCAUCCCUCUCCCACCCACAUAUAACUAGAUGGGCACUGGUGGUCUCCUCUGGGUCCCUGGGGCCAGCAGGUAUGCAGCCCAGGUGUGACUUUCUGAGUAGCACUGCCUACUAAGAAAGGGCCGGGCUCUUUCCUUCGCCACUCCUUCCUCCCAGCCAGAAAUGGUUAAUCGCUGGCUCCAGGCUCCUGCAGCCCAGCCCUAAUUGGCCUGAUCUCGCUGCCACUGGGCCAGCGGCUCCGGGCCAGGCUGGAGCAUUCUUCUGAGGUAAUGAUUAAGCUGUGUGCCUGACCAGCCAGGCUCACACCUCCUGGGAUGUGGUGGCCAGGACUGGCUGGGAAGGCAGGGCUGCACUCUGGGACCCGCCGGCAGCCACAGCUCCUAUCUGCCUGCACACGUAGCCGUCCCAAGCAUCCCUAGGUUGGAGCCCUUGCUGCCUGCCCACUGGACUUGCUGCACCCCCACCAUGAAGCUCUGGGUGUUCUGGACCGGGCUGGAGUACACCUGCCGGAUCCUGGGCAUCACCACCGCCUCAGUGUUGAUCGGCGUGGGCACCGAGACCCUCCUCCGGGGGCAGUUCAAAAGCCUGGCCUUCUAUCUGCUGUGAGUACGUGCACCCGCCCUUCCCUGCCGCAGGGCUGCCCAUUUGCCCCACACCUGUCCACCUGUGCUGACCCAGAGCUACUGACUCCCUCCCAGAGUGGAGGAAGCCUCCUGACCCAGGAGGCUUCUACGAUAGCUCCUAGUUUAGACAGGUCAUCCCUUAAAUCAACCAACUAUCCCUCUAUCCACCCACUUAUCCACUCACACAACCACCCAUCUGUCUACUCAUCCAUCCAUCCAUCCACUCACGCACCCAUUCACUCAUCCAUCCAUCCAUCCAUCCACUCAUCCAUCCACCCAUCCAUCCAUCCAUCCACUCAUCUAUCCACCCAUCCAUCCAUCCACUCAUCCAUCCACCCAUCCA
rnacentral:lncRNA from 1 species